ACGGGUGCGUAACACGUAUGCAAUCUACCCUUAACUGGGGGAUAGCCCCGAGAAAUCGGGAUUAAUACCCCAUAAUAUUAUGAAGUGGCAUCAUUUUAUAAUUAAAGCUCCGGCGGUUUUGGAUGAGCAUGCGCGACAUUAGCUAGUUGGUGAGGUAACGGCUCACCAAGGCUUCGAUGUCUAGGGGUUCUGAGAGGAUUCACCCCCACACUGGUACUGAGACACGGACCAGACUCCUACGGGAGGCAGCAGUAAGGAAUAUUGGUCAAUGGACGCAAGUCUGAACCAGCCAUGCCGCGUGCAGGAUGACGGCCCUACGGGUUGUAAACUGCUUUUGUACGGGAAAAAACCUCCGGUCGUGAAUCGGAGCUGAUGGUACCGUAAGAAUAAGCAUCGGCUAACUCCGUGCCAGCAGCCGCGGUAAUACGGAGGAUGCAAGCGUUAUCCGGAUUCAUUGGGUUUAAAGGGUGCGCAGGCGGAAUGAUAAGUCAGUGGUGAAAUCUCUCGGCUCAACUGAGAAACUGCCAUUGAUACUGUUGUUCUUGAGUACACUUGAAGUGGGCGGAAUGUGUCAUGUAGCGGUGAAAUGCUUAGAUAUGACACAGAACACCGAUCGCGAAGGCAGCUCACUAAAUUGUAACUGACGCUCAGGCACGAAAGCGUGGGGAUCAAACAGGAUUAGAUACCCUGGUAGUCCACGCCGUAAACGAUGAUCACUCGAUGUUGGCGAUAUACAGUCAGCGUCUAAGCGAAAGCAUUAAGUGAUCCACCUGGGGAGUACGGCCGCAAGGUUGAAACUCAAAGGAAUUGACGGGGGCCCGCACAAGCGGAGGAGCAUGUGGUUUAAUUCGAUGAUACGCGAGGAACCUUACCUGGGCUAGAACGCAAGAUGACAGUUCGAGAAAUCGGAU
rnacentral:rRNA from 1 species